CAGUCGCCACGGUAAUACGGAGGAUCCAAGCGUUAUCCGGAUUUAUUGGGUUUAAAGGGUGCGUAGGUGGCUUGUUAAGUCAGGGGUGAAAGACGGUAGCUUAACUAUCGCAGUGCCUUCGAUACUGACGAGCUUGAAUGAACUAGAGGUAGGCGGAAUGUGACAAGUAGCGGUGAAAUGCAUAGAUAUGUCACAGAACACCAAUUGCGAAGGCAGCUUACUAUGGUUUUAUUGACACUGAGGCACGAAAGCGUGGGGAUCAAACAGGAUUAGAUACCCGGGUAGUCCCUGUCUCUUAUAC
rnacentral:rRNA from 1 species